UACGGGGGGGGGCAAGCGUUGUUCGGAAUUACUGGGCGUAAAGGGCUCGUAGGCGGCCAACUAAGUUCAGACGUGAAAUCCCCUCGGCUUAACCGGGGAACUGCGUCUGAUACUGGAUGGCUUGAGGUUGGGAGAGGGAUGCGGGAAUUCCAGGUGUAGCGGUGAAAUGCGUAGAUAUCUGGAGGAACACCGGUGGCGAAGGCGGGCAUCCUGGACCAAUUCUGACGCUGACGGAGCGAAAGCCAGGGGAGCA
rnacentral:rRNA from 1 species